rnacentral:lncRNA from 1 species
CUCCAGCCACUAGCUAGUCACCACCUUCGGUUGUUGUAGUUGCUCCUCCAGUCAUUGCAACCAGUGCUACUACUCCAUCACUGAGUCAGCAUAACUUUAAGGUUAAAAAAAUGAAGCAUGUCUCUUACAUUUAAACAACUAAUUACUCUUUUUACUACCACAUCGAAGUUACCUUAACAUCGCCCAAUCAUGUCUUGCCAAAUAGCAUAUGUUUGAAGCAGAUAACCCUUUAUUGGUUGCUGGGCCUGGGCCAAUUGAAAGAGAAUCAGAAAAUAUGGUUGGGUUUCCUAACAUGUUGGUAAAACAUGGCUAGCAAGACGUUAAAAGAAACUGAAAAGGACAUGCAACUAAUCUAACUUUUCUGCAUAAAACAACAGCUCCAAUUACCUAUAUCAUCGAAGACUACAAAUAUGAAAUGAAAUUGCUUACAUAAACUUCACAGAAGGAGGGGACACAGCAGAAAAACUAGGAAAAAGUUAGUGGAUAGUAGCAUGGGCAGAUAAAGAGUUCACCUACCGUAACACAAAGAGGAGAAAUUCAGUGCACCAUCCAUAUUUUCCCCUUCCUAACACCCUCUUAGAACUAAAGGCACAACAUACUUUGAUAUUUUUGAUUUAUGCUUAACAUAGCUUCAUAUGAUUCCAUUAACUUAAAAGUAUCUCAUGUAUUACAGUCAUAAUUAGUAUAUAAAAGGUUUAUCAUGUCAGAAUUUAUUUUGUAAUUACAGUUAUUAAAAGUUAAAAACAUUAUUAAGUAUUAAGAUUUAAGACCAACCUUCUCCUACAUUUAAUUCAUUUAGAAAUAUUUUCCAUUUUCUAACACAUCAUAUCUCAACAUUCUAGAAGUUCCAACAUUCCAUCUAUUAAAUUACACCUUCCCUUGAACUCAGCAUUCAUUGUGCAUAAAAUUUUGCUUUCUAUGGCCAACACUAGAAGGAUCUGUCUCCUUCUGUUAAGGUUCUUAGCCUUUGCAUCAACCCUUUCAGCAGUUAUUGUCAUGGCUACUAGCCAUCAGAGAAUAAGCUUCUUGACAAUAUCCUUUGAAACAAGAUACACUAACUCUCCUGCAUUCAAGUAAGUGUGUUCCUUCCAGUGUUGUAAUCAUUCUGUUUGCUCAAAGAAAUUUGUUUUUUUUCAUCUGUGAACUUAAUAAACAUUUAUUACUAGGUACUUUGUGAUUUCAAACUCGGUUGUCACUGUCUAUGGUUUUUUGGUCCUCUUGCUUCCUGAAGAAAGCUUGCUCUGGCGACUAGUGGUGGCCAUGGAUCUGGUAAAUGCUCUAAAACCUCUUCAUAUAUUAUGUUGGAUUUACGUGUCAAAUAACACUAGUGUUUAUGCAAUAGUAGAUUAUAAUCAGGCUCAUGUAUAACUUGUUCAUUCCACUAUCAACAAAUCCAAUUUUUAAGAUUUGAGAGAAAAACAAUAGAAAAAAAAGUAAACUAAUUCAAUUAUUAUUCGUUAGAAUUAUAUGAAAGUAUAAGAAUAGCUUCAUAUAAAAUUGAGAAUUGUUAAUGAGGUUGCUUCGCCCCGUAAUAUUUUUUUCCUUUCUUGUUUGGGCUUCAACCCCUUAUUGUACCUUACAAAAAGACACCAUAUUCACAAUAAUUUAUAUAGGUGACAAAAAAGACUCAAUAAAAUAUCACAUAGGGAAAAUAAUCUAAAUUAGUAAUAGUGAAAUUUAUUAAAUGUGUAAGAAAAGUUUUGGCCAUGAGUGACUAGGGGUCAUAGUCGACCACCUCAUUAAUGUGUUAAUUUGAUGAGCAGGUGUUCACUAUGUUACUCAUUUCAAGCAUAUCUGCAGCUUUGGCUAUAGCUGAAGUGGGAAAGAAUGGAAACAAUUAUGCAGCUUGGGUACCAAUAUGUGGUUCAGUCCCUAAAUUUUGCAAUCAAGUUACAGGAGCUUUAAUUGCUGGUUUCAUUUCGGUCAUUACUUACAUGAUUCUUCUCUUGCAUUCCCUUCAUACUGUCUUAGAUCCUCUCCUAUUAAAAAAAAGUUAGAACACUAGACUUACUAGAGUUUCAGCAAUUCAAGUGACUUAUAGAUAACUCCUUGCAACACCUGUUAGUUUCACACUCAAAAUAUAUACAUAAUAUGCUCAUAAGUUAUCAAAUGCCAAGAGAAUUUAUGCAAAUCAGUUGUGAUUUAUUCAUCCGGAUAGUAAAGUCAUAAGUUGUUGAAUUAACAAUUUCAUUGUUUGGUAUCACUUUUACCUUUUUGUCAUUUUUUUCUUGUUAUAUUUUCUUAUAAAAAGUACUGAGAUUUUUUACUACUUUUCUACUAGUAACGACUCAAUAGUUAUUAUAUCAGUGUCUAUGUUAUAGGAGUAUUUUAAUUCAUACUCAUCUUAAUACCCAGCCCUUGAUGAGAUAUAAUUUUGCCUCCAAGGCUCAAAAUAUCCUACAUUCCCACUAUUUCUCUCAAACCACUAAUACCAAAACUAUAAAAUGGAUUGAUUACCUCUCUGCAGAAGCAUAUUAAACCAAUCUUGUAUACAUCUGCAUUGUCCUGGAUCAACAUGGUUAAGCAUAUUGCAAAGACUCCACAAUUUAUGAGUUGAACGUUCCAUCCUAUGUUUUAGAUCCAGGUCUGCUAUUGCCACACACGUCGAAACCGUACCAUAAGCGCAAUUAUAGCCACAUCAACUGUGAAUAUUUUCGAAGUUUCUAUUAAGAAUUAAAAGCAUAAAGAGAAUAUAGAUUUUAUUCAUUGAAUGAACUACGUAAUAUUGAAUUGAGUUGAUUUAAUAGAAAAGGUAGAAUAAAAAGCUUAUAUAGAAGGAAGAAAACUAAUCAACCUAACAACUAAAAACUAAUCAAUUAACUAUCAAAAGCCAAUACAAAACUAAUUCAAAUAACAAAAUAUAUUUUAAUUCAUUACAACUAUUUUAACCAUUCGAAAGAAUCUUCCUUUGGAAUUCAUAUCUUCUUCCAACUCAUCCAAUGGAUCUCCCUCUACUCAUUGGAAGAACCCCAUCAAAAUUUAUUGAACAAACCACACAACUGAGAGCAAAUUGGAAAACACUCAUAGCAUAAGAUGGUAUUGUCUAAGCAACUCUGCUUUAAGAAGAACCACCUUGUCUACUGUGGAGAAUAAUUUUUGUUUCCAUCCUUGGAUUCUCUUCCAACCUCUAUACUUACUCAUCGGCAUCUAAGAUAUGAGAAACUGGAGGACCAUGCCUCGAACCUUAGCCACAUCGAUAAUGUCUUGCUUGGUUAUAUGGUUUUCUUAUUUAGGACCAUGCUUACCACCUAUCAUUUACG